rnacentral:rRNA from 1 species
GCCUAAAAGGCGAAUGGAGCCGGUAUCAGGCACAACACCUUUGGCCAAUGACACCUUGCCCCGCCACACCCCCACGGGUCUACAGCAGUGAUUAAUAUUAAACAUAAGCGCAAAGCUUGAUUUAGUUAUAGUAACCCACAGGGCCGGUUAAUUUCGUGCCAGCCACCGCGGUUAUACGAAAGGCCCAAAAUAACGACCAGCGGCGUAAAGUGUGGCUAGAAGCAACUUAUUAAGGAAAAACAUCUUCUCCGCUGUAAAACGCCCAAGAAGACAAGAAUAUUUAGCCCCUUAAAUCAUUUAACGCCACGAAAGCUAGGGCACAAACUGGGAUUAGAUACCCCACUAUGCCUAGCCCUAAACCGAGAUAAAAAGAUACUAUUUAUCCGCCAGAGAACUACGAGCAAAAUACUUAAAACUCAAAGGACUUGGCGGCAUUCCACAUCACCCUAGAGGAGCCCGUCCAAUAAUCGACAACACACGCUCAACCCUACCAUUUUUGGCCACUCCAGCCUAUAUACCGCCGUCGUCAGCUAACCUUGUGAAAGAAAAAAAGUAGGCACAACAGCCCCCGCUAAAACGUCAGGUCAAGGUGUAGCUAAUAAAAUGGCUGUGAUAGGCUACAUUUUCUAACAAAGAAAACACGGAAAAUACAAUGAAACCUGUAUUUAAAGGCGAAUUUAGCAGUAAAAUAGGAAAUGAUCCCUACUUUAAUACCGCUCUGGAAUGCGCACACACCGCCCGUCACCCUCCUCGAACAAUAGAUGAGGCAAG